AGAGUUUGAUCCUGGCUCAGAACGAACGCUGGCGGCGUGGAUAAGACAUGCAAGUCGAACGGGACCAGGUUUGUAGUAAUACAGGCUUGGUUCAGUGGCGAACGGGUGCGUAACACGUGAGCAAUCUGCCGGGAAGUGGGGGACAGCUCGCCGAAAGGCGAAUUAAUACCGCAUAUGGCCAUUCUUUGAUUAAAGGAAAAGCCAAAGCAGCAAUGCGCUUCCUGAUGAGCUCGCGGCCUAUCAGCUAGAUGGCGGGGUAAUGGCCCACCAUGGCUAUGACGGGUAGCUGGUCUGAGAGGACGACCAGCCACACUGGAACUGAGAUACGGUCCAGACACCUACGGGUGGCAGCAGUCGAGAAUUUUUCACAAUGGGGGCAACCCUGAUGGAGCGACGCCGCGUGGAGGAUGAAGGCCUUCGGGUUGUAAACUCCUGUCAUGCGGGAACAAGCAAGUGAUAGUACCGCAAGAGGAAGAGACGGCUAACUCUGUGCCAGCAGCCGCGGUAAUACAGAGGUCUCAAGCGUUGUUCGGAUUCAUUGGGCGUAAAGGGUGCGUAGGUGGUGACGCAAGUCUGGUGUGAAAUCUCGGAGCUUAACUCCGAAAUUGCACCGGAUACUGCGUGACUCGAGGACUGUAGAGGAGAUCGGAAUUCACGGUGUAGCAGUGAAAUGCGUAGAUAUCGUGAGGAAGACCAGUUGCGAAGGCGGAUCUCUGGGCAGUUCCUGACACUGAGGCACGAAGGCCAGGGGAGCAAACGGGAUUAGAUACCCCGGUAGUCCUGGCAGUAAACGGUGCACGUUUGGUGUGGGCGGGUUCAGACCCCGUCCGUGCCGGAGCUAACGCGUUAAACGUGGCCGCCUGGGGA
rnacentral:rRNA from 1 species